CACAUUCAGUAACUACUCUGUUUUACACUGUGGGCUCUCCAAAUUGAUAUCCCAGUCUAGGGUGCUUUCAAGACAACUGGGAACUUGGAAAAACACUUGAUCAAAUCUUGACGUCAGUGAUCUUCAGGUCGGCUCUUGUGUGAAGAGGACUUCAAGCAGACUGGAAGAUAUGGCGCUGCCAUUCAAGUUAACAGACUUUGUUCAGCAGAUAAAGGAUGARGUUGGGGUUUCAGUGCUGGUGGUCCGUGUGUCUGUGGCUGGUACUCAUGUCUGGUGUGAAGGUUGCUUUAUCCCUGCUCACUGGUCACCAUAGCAGCACCCACCCGUAGCACGUGCUCCAGCAGGCACCACUUUCUUGUACUCAACCCACGCCUUCACCCUCCUAAGUGUCGUAGUGGAGAGAGCUGCAGGCCAGCAUUUGUUGGAUCACAUAAUGAAGAUGUUCCGGGAACUGGGCAUGCUCAACACUGUGCCAGAUGAGAAUGACCCCACAAUCUAAACUCAGCAAAAAAAUAAACGUCC